GGCAGUGUGGCUCAGUGGCUAGAGUGCUGGGCUAAGACCUGGGGAUGGACCAGGGCUCAAAUCUCCGAUCAGCCA